GAUGACGCUCACGUCCUACGAAGAGUUGGAACCCGCUGCCCAGUGACGACUGACUGGUAUUCCCCAUGCAUGGGGAGCCUCGCCGUUUACGGCGAGGAGGAUGUCACCAAAGCAUGA
rnacentral:misc_RNA from 1 species